rnacentral:rRNA from 1 species
UACGUAGGUGGCAAGCGUUAUCCGGAAUUAUUGGGCGUAAAGAGCGCGCAGGUGGUUGAUUAAGUCUGAUGUGAAAGCCCACGGCUUAACCGUGGAGGGUCAUUGGAAACUGGUCGACUUGAGUGCAGAAGAGGGAAGUGGAAUUCCAUGUGUAGCGGUGAAAUGCGUAGAGAUAUGGAGGAACACCAGUGGCGAAGGCGGCUUCCUGGUCUGUAACUGACACUGAGGCACGAAAGUAUGGGGAUCAAACAGGAUUAGAUA